CGCCGAGUGCCGUGCCUGGUGGCACGGGGCGGACUUCAGAUCCGUCAGUUCUUAUGAACUCGGGGUUCGAUUCCCCCUCGGCGC
rnacentral:tRNA from 2 species